AUUGAACGCUGGCGGCAGGCCUAACACAUGCAAGUCGAACGAGUGGCGGACGGGUGAGUAAUGUCUGGGAAACUGCCUGAUGGAGGGGGAUAACUACUGGAAACGGUAGCUAAUACCGCAUACCAUCAGAUGUGCCCAGAUGGGAUUAGCUUGUUGGUGGGGUAACGGCUCACCAGGGCGACGAUCCCUAGCUGGUCUGAGAGGAUGACCGGCCACACUGAAACUGAGACACGGGCCAGACUCCUAGGGGAGGAAGAGGUGGGGAAUAUGGCACAAGGGGCGAAAGCCUGAUGCAGCCAUGCCGGGUGGAUGAAGAAGGCCUUCGGGUUGUAAAGUACUUUCAGCGGGGAGGCGUUACCCGAAGAAGAAGCACCGGCUAACUCCGUGCCAGCAGCCGCGGUAUAC
rnacentral:rRNA from 1 species